AAAGCAUUCUCUGGUGUUGAAGGCCCUGCAAAGCAGCAUCGCGGUGGCGGAGCGUCGUUUGCGACGCCCAACACACAAAACAAGCGGUGAGUGCUUUGGGGUGGGGUGACUGCGUACCUUUUGUAUAAUGGGUCAGCGACUUAUAUUCUGUAGCAAGGUUAACCGUAUAGGGGAGCCGUAGGGAAACCGAGUCUUAACCGGGCGUUAAGUUGCAGGGUAUAGACCCGAAACCCGGUGAUCUAGCCAUGGGCAGGUUGAAGGUUGGGUAACACUAACUGGAGGACCGAACCGACUAAUGUUGAAAAAUUAGCGGAUGACUUGUGGCUGGGGGUGAAAGGCCAAUCAAACCGGGAGAUAGCUGGUUCUCCCCGAAAGCUAUUUAGGUAGCGCCUCGUGAAUUCAUCUUCGGGGGUAGAGCACUGUUUCGGCUAGGGGGUCAUCCCGACUUACCAACCCGAUGCAAACUGCGAAUACCGGAGAAUGUUAUCACGGGAGACACACGGCGGGUGCUAACGUCCGUCGUGAAGAGGGAAACAACCCAGACCGCCAGCUAAGGUCCCAAAGUCAUGGUUAAGUGGGAAACGAUGUGGGAAGGCCCAGACAGCCAGGAUGUUGGCUUAGAAGCAGCCAUCAUUUAAAGAAAGCGUAAUAGCUCACUGGUCGAGUCGGCCUGCGCGGAAGAUGUAACGGGGCUAAACCAUGCACCGAAGCUGCGGCAGCGACACUGUGUGUUGUUGGGUAGGGGAGCGUUCUGUAAGCCUGCGAAGGUGGCCUGUGAGGGUUGCUGGAGGUAUCAGAAGUGCGAAUGCUGACAUAAGUAACGAUAAAGCGGGUGAAAAGCCCGCUCGCCGGAAGACCAAGGGUUCCUGUCCAACGUUAAUCGGGGCAGGGUGAGUCGACCCCUAAGGCGAGGCCGAAAGGCGUAGUCGAUGGGAAACAGGUUAAUAUUCCUGUACUUGGUGUUACUGCGAAGGGGGGACGGAGAAGGCUAUGUUGGCCGGGCGACGGUUGUCCCGGUUUAAGCGUGUAGGUGUGUGUUCCAGGUAAAUCCGGUUCACUUUAACACUGAGGCGUGAUGACGAGGCACUACGGUGCUGAAGCAACAAAUGCCCUGCUUCCAGGAAAAGCCUCUAAGCAUCAGGUAACAUCAAAUCGUACCCCAAACCGACACAGGUGGUCAGGUAGAGAAUACCAAGGCGCUUGAGAGAACUCGGGUGAAGGAACUAGGCAAAAUGGUGCCGUAACUUCGGGAGAAGGCACGCUGACA
rnacentral:rRNA from 1 species